rnacentral:rRNA from 1 species
AUGUAUAUGCCUACAACAUAGAAUUAAUGCACCGGAUCCCAUUAGAAAUACGCAGUUAAGCAUGAUCGGGCUAGAGUAGUAGUGAUAUGGGUGACCACCUGGGAAGUCCUAGUAUUUUACAUG